UGGCGGACGGGUGAGUAAUGUCUGGGAAACUGCCCGAUGGAGGGGGGUAACUACUGGAAACGGUAGCUAAUACCGCAUAACGUCGCAAGACCAAAGAGGGGGACCUUAGGGCCUCUUGCCAUCGGAUGUGCCCAGAUGGGAUUAGCUAGUAGGUGGGGUAAUGGCUCACCUAGGCGACGAUCCCUAGCUGGUCUGAAAGGAUGACCAGCCACACUGGAACUGAGACACGGUCCAG
rnacentral:rRNA from 1 species